CAAGAAGAGACCCUAACCGGUCCCUCUCAACCCUGCCCAUCGUACCUUUUUUGUUGUUCCCUCGGCGGUGCUCGCGGGGCCCCGCCGGCGGGAAGACCAAACAAACCCUUUGCAAACAAGCAUAUCGAAUCUCUGAUCAAAACAUGAAUUGUCA
rnacentral:misc_RNA from 1 species